GCGGUACAGACAGGUAGCUCCAUCCACUGGAAGUAACUAUGGCAGUCAGUAAGGAGAUAGCGGUACAGACAGGUAGCUCCAUCCAUUUGCAGUAACUAUGGCAGCCAGUAAGGAGAUAGCGGUACAGACAGGUAGCUCCGUCCAUUGGCAGUAACUAUGGCAGCCAGUAAGGAGAUAGCGGUACAGACAGGUAGCUCCACCCACUGGAAGUAACUAUGGCAGUCAGUAAGGAGAUAGCGGUACAGACAGGUAGCUCCAUCCAUUUGCAGUAACUAUGGCAGCCAGUAAGGAGAUAGCGGUACAGACAGG